rnacentral:rRNA from 1 species
GGCUCCGUAUGAACGCUAGCGACAGGCUUAACACAUGCAAGUCGAGGGGCAGCACAGGUAGCAAUACCGGGUGGCGACCGGCGCACGGGUGAGUAACGCGUAUGCAACUUGCCUAUCAGAGGGGGAUAACCCGGCGAAAGUCGGACUAAUACCGCAUGAAGCAGGGAUCCCGCAUGGGAAUAUUUGCUAAAGAUUCAUCGCUGAUAGAUAGGCAUGCGUUCCAUUAGGCAGUUGGCGGGGUAACGGCCCACCAAACCGACGAUGGAUAGGGGUUCUGAGAGGAAGGUCCCCCACAUUGGUACUGAGACACGGACCAAACUCCUACGGGAGGCAGCAGUGAGGAAUAUUGGUCAAUGGCCGAGAGGCUGAACCAGCCAAGUCGCGUGAGGGAUGAAGGUUCUAUGGAUCGUAAACCUCUUUUAUAAGGGAAUAAAGUGCGGGACGUGUCCCGUUUUGUAUGUACCUUAUGAAUAAGGAUCGGCUAACUCCGUGCCAGCAGCCGCGGUAAUACGGAGGAUCCGAGCGUUAUCCGGAUUUAUUGGGUUUAAAGGGUGCGUAGGCGGCCUUUUAAGUCAGCGGUGAAAGUCUGUGGCUCAACCAUAGAAUUGCCGUUGAAACUGGGGGGCUUGAGUAUGUUUGAGGCAGGCGGAAUGCGUGGUGUAGCGGUGAAAUGCAUAGAUAUCACGCAGAACCCCGAUUGCGAAGGCAGCCUGCCAAGCCAUUACUGACGCUGAUGCACGAAAGCGUGGGGAUCAAACAGGAUUAGAUACCCUGGUAGUCCACGCAGUAAACGAUGAUCACUAGCUGUUUGCGAUACACUGUAAGCGGCACAGCGAAAGCGUUAAGUGAUCCACCUGGGGAGUACGCCGGCAACGGUGAAACUCAAAGGAAUUGACGGGGGCCCGCACAAGCGGAGGAACAUGUGGUUUAAUUCGAUGAUACGCGAGGAACCUUACCCGGGUUUGAACGCAUUCGGACCGAGGUGGAAACACCUUUUCUAGCAAUAGCCGUUUGCGAGGUGCUGCAUGGUUGUCGUCAGCUCGUGCCGUGAGGUGUCGGCUUAAGUGCCAUAACGAGCGCAACCCUUGCCACUAGUUACUAACAGGUAAAGCUGAGGACUCUGGUGGGACUGCCAGCGUAAGCUGCGAGGAAGGCGGGGAUGACGUCAAAUCAGCACGGCCCUUACAUCCGGGGCGACACACGUGUUACAAUGGCGUGGACAAAGGGAGGCCACCUGGCGACAGGGAGCGAAUCCCCAAACCACGUCUCAGUUCGGAUCGGAGUCUGCAACCCGACUCCGUGAAGCUGGAUUCGCUAGUAAUCGCGCAUCAGCCAUGGCGCGGUGAAUACGUUCCCGGGCCUUGCACACACCGCC